CGAUAACGAACGAGACCUUGGCCUGCUAAAUAGCUACAGAAACGCGAGUUUGUGGGGAGCUUCUUAGAGGGACUUGACAUUUUAAAUGUCCGGAAGAACAAGGCAAUAACAGGUCUGUGAUGCCCUUUGAUGUUCUGGGCCGCACGCGCGCUACACUGUUAGAGGCAACAAGUAUAUAACCUUGAUUGAAAAGUCUGGGUAAUCUUUCGAAAGUCUAACGUGCUGGGGAUAGACCAUUGGAAUUAUUGGUCUUUAACGAGGAAUUCCUAGUAAGCGCAAGUCAUCAACUUGCGUUGAUUACGUCCCUGCCCUUUGUACACACCGCCCGUCGGUACUACCGAUUGAAUGGCUA
rnacentral:rRNA from 1 species